AGUGAACGCUGGCGGUAGGCCUAACACAUGCAAGUCGAACGGCAGCACAGUAAGAGCUUGCUCUUACGGGUGGCGAGUGGCGGACGGGUGAGGAAUACAUCGGAAUCUACUUUUUCGUGGGGGAUAACGUAGGGAAACUUACGCUAAUACCGCAUACGACCUACGGGUGAAAGCAGGGGAUCUUCGGACCUUGCGCGAUUGAAUGAGCCGAUGUCGGAUUAGCUAGUUGGCGGGGUAAAGGCCCACCAAGGCGACGAUCCGUAGCUGGUCUGAGAGGAUGAUCAGCCACACUGGACCUGAGACCCGGUCCAGCCUCCUACGGGAGGCAGCAGUGGGGAAUAUUGGCAAAUGGGCGAAAGCCUGAUCCAGCCAUACCGCGUAGGUGAAGAAGGCCUUCGGGUUGUAAAGCCCUUUUGUUGGGAAAGAAAAGCAGCAGGUUAAUACCCCGCUGUUCUGACGGUACCAAAAGAAUAAGCACCGGCGAACUUCGU
rnacentral:rRNA from 1 species